ACCGCAGACCGCCUUAUCGCUUUGUGCUGAACUCGUUUCAGCAUCUUUUGAUUUCAAGUCAAAAGGUUCCGAAUCAAGUUCGGAAUGAAGAGGAAAGUCCGGACACCACAGAGUAGCAUAGCGGGUAACGCCCGUCCGUUGAAAGGCGAGGACAAGUGCAACAGAAAGUAUGUACAGGUAAGGCUGUAGUGAAACCAGGUAAACUCUAUGCGGUGAAAUUCCAAGUAUAUCGGCAUUUAAGGAUUACUCGUCCGUUGCCGAAGGGUAGGAAGCUCGAACCAAUGAGUAAUUGUUGGUCUAGAUAAAUGAUAAGGUAUUUCUAAUUUGUUUCAGAUUCUGAAACAAGUUCAGAAAGAACAGAAUCCGGCUUAUAGGUCUGCUUUUUUU
rnacentral:RNase_P_RNA from 1 species